rnacentral:tRNA from 1 species
GCAUUGAUGGUUUAGUGGUAGAAUUCUUGUCUUCCAUGCAGGAGACCUGGUUAGAUUCCCAGUCAAUGCA